rnacentral:rRNA from 1 species
ACUCCUACGGGAGGCAGCAGUGGGGAAUAUUGCACAAUGGGCGAAAGCCUGAUGCAGCGACGCCGCGUGAGGGACGACGGCCUCGGUUGUAACCUCUUUCAGUAGGGAACAAGGCAUCAUUUUGUUGGUGUUGAGGGUACUUGCAGAAGAAGCACCGGCUAACUACGUGCCAGCAGCCGCGGUAAUACGUAGGGGUGCAAGCGUUAUCCGGAAUUAUUGGGCGUAAAGAGCUCGUAGGCGGUUUGUCGCGUCUGUCGUGAAAGUCCGGGGCUCAACUCCGGAUCUGCGGUGGGUACGGGCAGACUAGAGUGAUGUAGGGGAGACUGGAAUUCCUGGUGUAGCGGUGGAAUGCGCAGAUAUCAGGAGGAACACCGAUGGCGAAGGCAGGUCUCUGGGCAUUAACUGACGCUGAGGAGCGAAAGCAUGGGGAGCGAACAGGAUUAGAUACCCUGGUAGGAUAGCG